GACGAACGCUGGCGGCGCGCCUAACACAUGCAAGUCGAGCGAGAACCAGGGCUUCGGCCCUGGGGACAGCGGCGAACGGGUGAGUAACACGUGGGUAACCUGCCCUCGGCACCGGGAUAGCCCGGGGAAACUCGGAUUAAUACCGGACAGCCUCACGAGCCCCCGGGCCCGUGAGAAAAGGGGGCUUCGGCUUCCGGCUGGGGCUGGGCCCGCGGCCGAUUAGCUUGUUGGUGGGGUAACGGCUCACCAAGGCGACGAUCGGUAGCUGGUCUGAGAGGACGAUCAGCCACACUGGGACUGAGACACGGCCCAGACUCCUACGGGAGGCAGCAGUGGGGAAUCUUGCGCAAUGGGCGAAAGCCUGACGCAGCCACGCCGCGUGAGUGAAGAAGGCCUUCGGGUUGUAAAGCUCUUUCGGCGGGGAAGAAAUGGCAACGGCUAAUAUCCGUUGUUGAUGACGGUACCCGCAUAAGAAGCACCGGCUAACUACGUGCCAGCAGCCGCGGUAACAC
rnacentral:rRNA from 1 species